rnacentral:rRNA from 1 species
CUCCUACGGGAGGCAGCAGUGGGGAAUAUUGGACAAUGGGGGCAACCCUGAUCCAGCAAUUCUGUGUGCACGAGGAAGGUUUUCGGAUUGUAAAGUGCUUUCAGCAGGGAAGAAGGAAGUGACGGUACCUGCAGAAGAAGCGACGGCUAAAUACGUGCCAGCAGCCGCGGUAAUACGUAUGUCGCGAGCGUUAUCCGGAAUUAUUGGGCAUAAAGGGCAUCUAGGCGGCCAGGUAAGUCUGGGGUGAAAACUUGCGGCUCAACCGCAAGCCUGCCCUGGAAACUAUGUGGCUAGAGUGCUGGAGAGGUGGACGGAACUGCACGAGUAGAGGUGAAAUUCGUAGAUAUGUGCAGGAAUGCCGAUGAUGAAGAUAGUUCACUGGACGGCAACUGACGCUGAAGUGCGAAAGCUAGGGGAGCGAACAGGAUUAGAUACCCUGGUAGUCCUAGCUGUAAACGAUGAUUACUGGGUGUGGGCAUGAAGAGUGUCCGUGCCGAAGCGAAUGCGAUAAGUAAUCCGCCUGGGGAGUACGGCCGCAAGGCUGAAACUCAAAGGAAUUGACGGGGACCCGCACAAGCGGUGGAGCAUGUGGUUUAAUUCGACGCAACGCGAGGAACCUUACCAGAUCUUGACAUCCUACGGAUGCCUGCGAGAGCAGGCAGUGCCUUCGGGAACGUAGAGACAGGUGGUGCAUGGCUGUCGACAGCUCGUGUCGUGAGAUGUUGGGUUAAGUCCCGCAACGAGCGCAACCCCUAUCGUUAGUUGCCAUCAUUAAGUUGGGGACUCUAGCGAGACUGCCUGCGAAGAGCAGGAGGAAGGUGGGGAUGACGUCAAGUCAUCAUGCCCCUUAUGAUCUGGGCUACACACGUGCUACAAUGGCCGGUACAGAGAGCUGCGAGGCGGCAACGCCAAGCGAAUCUGCAAAGCCGGUCCAAGUUCGGAUUGAAGUCUGCAACUCGACUUCAUGAAGCUGGAAUCGCUAGUAAUCCCAGAUCAGCAAUGCUGCGGUGAAUACGUUCUCGGGUCUUGUACACACGC